rnacentral:rRNA from 1 species
GGACUCUAUUGAGGCCCCGUAAUCGGAAUGAGUACACUUUAAAUCCUUUAACAAGGAUCCAUUGGAGGGCAAGUCUGGUGCCAGCAGCCGCGGUAAUUCCAGCUCCAAUAGCGUAUAUUAAAGUUGUUGCGGUUAAAAAGCUCGUAGUUGGUUCUGCGUGCCGCGCUGUCGGUUCGCCGCCUGUCGGUGUAACUGGCAUGUCGCGGCAUGUCCUGUCGGUGGUGAACGGGAUUCCCGGUACAGCGUAGGCUUUUAUAGCCGAAGUUAGUGCCGUGCGAAGUCCGUUUGCCGAUCUCUCCUACUCCGGUGCUCUUAAACGAGUGUCGAGGUAGGCCGACACGUUCACUUUGAACAAAUUAGAGUGCUUAAAGCAGGCUGAAAUAUCUGCCUGAAUAGUGGUGCAUGGAAUGAUAAAAUAGGACCUCGGUUCUAUUUUGUUGGUUUUAGGAAUGUGAGGUAAUGAUCAAUGUGGACUGGCGGGGGCAUUCGUAUUGCGACGUUAGAGGUGAAAUUCUUGGAUCGUCGCAAGACGCACUAAAGCGAAAGCAUUUGCCAAGUAUGUCUUAAUUGAUCAAGAACGAAAGUUAGAGGUUCGAAGGCGAUCAGAUACCGCCCUAGUUCUAACCAUAAACGAUGCCAGCCAGCGAUCCGCCGAUGUUCCAUUAAUGACUCGGCGGGGAGCUUCCACCCGGGAAACCAAAGCUUUUGGGUUCCGGGGGAAGUAUGGUUGCAAAGCUGAAACUUAAAGGAAUUGACGGAAGG